rnacentral:rRNA from 1 species
CGAGGAGUAAUACCGUAUGUGCCCUUCGGGGGAAAGAUUUAUCGCCAAAGGAUUAGCCCGCGUUGGAUUAGAUAGUUGGUGGGGUAAUGGCCUACCAAGUCUACGAUCCAUGGCUGGUUUGAGAGGAUGAUCAGCAACACUGGGACUGAGACACGGCCCAGACUCCUACGGGAGGCAGCAGUGGGGAAUCUUAGACAAUGGGCGCAAGCCUGAUCUAGCCAUGCCGCGUGGACGAUGAAGGCCUUAGGGUUGUAAAGUCCUUUCAGAUGGGAAGAUAAUGACGGUACCAUCAGAAGAAGCCCCGGCUAACUCCGUG